UUCGCAAUGCCCGAAAGGGUGACGAAGCGACGCCGCGUGGGUGAGGAAGGCCUUCGGGUUGUAAAGCCCUGUCAGGAGUUAAGAAAUGUAGACUCGCUAAUAUCGGGUCUAUUUGACAAAGGCUCCAAAGGAAGCCACGGCUAACUCUGUGCCAGCAGCCGCGGUAAUACAGAGGUGGCAAGCGUUGUUCGGAAUUAUUGGGCGUAAAGAGCACGUAGGUGGAUUUGUAAGUCAGACGUGAAAGCCUUCUGUUCAACGGAAGAAUUGCAUCUGAAACUACAAACCUUGAGUGUAGGAGGGGAGAAUGGAACUUCUGGUGGAGCGGUGAAAUGCGUAGAUAUCAGAAGGAACGUCGGCGGCGAAAGCGACUCUCUGGCCUAUUACUGACACUCAGUGUGCGAAAGUUAGGGGAGCAAACGGGAUUAGAUACCCCGGUAGUCCUAGCCGUAAACGAUGGGCACUAAGUAGAGGGGUUUU
rnacentral:rRNA from 2 species